rnacentral:rRNA from 1 species
GGAGGGUGCGAGCGUUAAUCGGAAUUACUGGGCGUAAAGCGCGCGCAGGCGGCUGGGUCAGUCGGAUGUGAAAGCCCCGGGCUUAACCUGGGAAUUGCAUUCGAUACUGCCCGGCUAGAGUAUGGGAGAGGGAAGUGGAAUUUCCGGUGUAGCGGUGAAAUGCGUAGAUAUCGGAAGGAACACCAGUGGCGAGGGCGGCUUCCUGGCCCAAUACUGACGCUCAGGUGCGAAAGCGUGGGGAGCGAACAGGGAUUAGAUACCCUGGUAGUCCACGCUGUAAACGAUGAGAACUAGAUGUUGGGAGGGUUAGCCUCUCAGUGUCGCAGCUAACGCGUUAAGUUCUCCGCCUGGGGAGUACGACCGCAAGGUUG